GAUGUCCUAACACAUGUCAAGUCGAACGAACCCUUCGGGGUUAGAGGCGCACGGGUGCGUAACGCGUGGGAACCUGCCCUUAGGUCCGGAAUAACAGUUAGAAAUGACUGCUAAUACCGGAUAAUGUCUUUGGACCAAAGAUUUAUCGNCUUNGGAUGGGCCCGAGUAGGAUAAGGAANGNNGGNGGGGUAAAAGCCUACCAAGNCGUCGAUCCUUANCUGGUUUGAGAGGAUGAUCAGUCACACUGGGACUGNUACACGGUCCAUACUUUCUAC
rnacentral:rRNA from 1 species